rnacentral:rRNA from 1 species
AUUGAACGCUGGCGGCAUGCCUUACACAUGCAAGUCGAACGGCAGCACGGGAGCAAUCCUGGUGGCGAGUGGCGAACGGGUGAGUAAUAUAUCGGAACGUGCCCAGUAGUGGGGGAUAGCCCGGCGAAAGCCGGAUUAAUACCGCAUACGACCUAAGGGUGAAAGCGGGGGACCGUAAGGCCUCGCGCUAUUGGAGCGGCCGAUAUCAGAUUAGGCAGUUGGUAGGGUAAAAGCCUACCAAGCCAUCGAUCUGUAGCUGGUCUGAGAGGACGACCAGCCACACUGGGACUGAGACACGGCCCAGACUCCUACGGGAGGCAGCAGUGGGGAAUUUUGGACAAUGGGCGAAAGCCUGAUCCAGCCAUGCCGCGUGCAGGAAGAAGGCCUUCGGGUUGUAAACUGCUUUUGUCGGGGAAGAAACGCUCUGGGCUAAUACCCUGGGGUAAUGACGGUACCCGAAGAAUAAGCACCGGCUAACUACGUGCCAGCCGCCGCUGUAA